GCCCUGGUGGCACAGUGGUUAAAUGCCUGUACUGCAGCCAUUCACUCAGACCACAAGGUUGCGAGUUCAAUACUAGCCAGGGCU
rnacentral:tRNA from 1 species